AGACUAAUCGAACCAUCUAGUAGCUGGUUCCCUCCGAAGUUCCCCUCAGGAUAGCUGGCUCUCGGGCCGACCUAGUUUUUAUCCGGUAAAGCAAAUGAUUAGAGGUCUUGGGGCCGAAACGAUCUCAACCUAUUCUCAAACUUUAAAUGGGUAAGAAGCCCGGCUACCUGGCAUGGAGCCGGGCUUCUUAACCAUUUAAA